rnacentral:misc_RNA from 1 species
GAGAGCCGGAUGCGGGAAACCUGCCUGUCCGGUUCGUGUUCGCGGCGCUCCCGAAAGGCAUCCCAGAUUUGCAGAUGAAGCUGGAG